rnacentral:rRNA from 1 species
GUUGUAUAGUUAAGUGAGAAAGCGUACAGGGCGGAUGCCUUGGCAAUCAGAGGCGAAGAAGGACGUGCUAAUCUGCGAAAAGCGUGGGUGAGUUGAUAAGAAGCGUUUAACCCACGAUGUCCGAAUGGGGAAACCCGAUAGGCGAAGAGCCUAUCAUUGCGAGGUGAAUAAAAUAGCCUCGUAAGGCGAACCGGGAGAACUGAAACAUCUAAGUACCCCGAGGAAAAGAAAUCAACCGAGAUUCUGUGAGUAGCGGCGAGCGAAAGCGGAGGAGCCAGUAAGUAAUAGCAGCAGAGAUAGAGGAAUUGUCUGGGAAGGCAAGCGACACAGGGUGAUAGCCCCGUACUUAAAAUCCAGGCUGUGGUACUAAGCUUACGAGAAGUAGGGCGGGACACGAGGAAUCCUGUCUGAAGAUGGGGGGACCAUCCUCCAAGGCUAAAUACUCCUGAUUGACCGAUAGUGAACCAGUACUGUGAAGGAAAGGCGAAAAGAACCCCGGUGAGGGGAGUGAAAUAGAACCUGAAACCCUGUACGUACAAGCAGUGGGAGCCCGCAAGGGUGACUGCGUACCUUUUGUAUAAUGGGUCAGCGACUUAUAUUUUGUAGCGAGGUUAACUGAAUAAGGGAGCCGAAGGGAAACCGAGUCUUAACUGGGCGGUGAGUUGCAAGGUAUAGACCCGAAACCCGGUGAUCUAGCCAUGGGCAGGUUGAAGGUUGGGUAACACUAACUGGAGGACCGAACCGACUAAUGUUGAAAAAUUAGCGGAUGACCUGUGGCUGGGGGUGAAAGGCCAAUCAAACCGGGAGAUAGCUGGUUCUCCCCGAAAUCUAUUUAGGUAGAGCCUUGUGUGAAUACCUUUGGGGGUAGAGCACUGUUUCGGCUAGGGGCCCAUCCCGGGUUACCAAACCGAUGCAAACUCCGAAUACCAAAGAGUAAUGCACAGGAGACACACGGCGGGUGCUAACGUCCGUCGUGGAGAGGGAAACAACCCAGACCGCCAGCUAAGGUCCCAAAAUCUAUAUUAAGUGGGAAACGAAGUGGGAAGGCUUAGACAGCUAGGAUGUUGGCUUAGAAGCAGCCACCAUUUAAAGAAAGCGUAAUAGCUCACUAGUCGAGUCGGCCUGCGCGGAAGAUGUAACGGGGCUAAAAUAUAGUACCGAAGCUGCGGCAUCAAUCGAAGGAUUGUUGGGUAGGGGAGCGUUGUGUAAGCGGAAGAAGGUGGUUCGAGAGGAUUGCUGGACGUAUCACAAGUGCGAAUGCUGACAUAAGUAACGAUAAAACGGGUGAAAAACCCGUUCGCCGGAAGACCAAGGGUUCCUGUCCAACGUUAAUCGGGGCAGGGUGAGUCGGCCCUAAGGCGAGGCUGAAAAGCGUAGUCGAUGGGAAACGGGUUAAUAUUCCCGUACUUGGUAAAGCUGCGAUGUGGGGACGGAGAAGGUUAGGUUAUCGACCUGUUGGAGAUGGUCGUUUAAGUUGGUAGGUGGGUGAGUUAGGCAAAUCCGGCUCACCGUUAACACUGAGAGAUGAUGACGAGGCACUAAGGUGCUGAAGUAACUGAUACCACACUUCCAGGAAAAGCCACUAAGCUUCAGGCUUUACUAAACCGUACUGAAAACCGACACAGGUGGUCAGGUAGAGAAUACUCAGGCGCUUGAGAGAACUCGGGUGAAGGAACUAGGCAAAAUAGCACCGUAACUUCGGGAGAAGGUGUGCCGGCGUAGAUUGUAGUGACUUGCUCACGAAGGUUGAACCGGUCGAAGAUACCAGCUGGCUGCAACUGUUUAUUAAAAACACAGCACUCUGCAAACACGAAAGUGGACGUAUAGGGUGUGAUGCCUGCCCGGUGCUGGAAGGUUAAUUGAUGGUGUAAUCGAAAGAGAAGCUCCUGAUCGAAGCCCCAGUAAACGGCGGCCGUAACUAUAACGGUCCUAAGGUAGCGAAAUUCCUUGUCGGGUAAGUUCCGACCUGCACGAAUGGCAUAAUGAUGGCCAGGCUGUCUCCACCCGAGACUCAGUGAAAUUGAAAUCGCCGUGAAGAUGCGGUGUACCCGCGGCUAGACGGAAAGACCCCGUGAACCUUUACUAUAGCUUGACACUGAACCUUGAAUUUUGAUGUGUAGGAUAGGUGGGAGACUAUGAAGCGGUAACGCCAGUUAUCGUGGAGUCGUUGUUGAAAUACCACCCUUUAACGUUUGAUGUUCUAACGAAGUGCCUGAAACGGGUACUCGGACAGUGUCUGGUGGGUAGUUUGACUGGGGCGGUCUCCUCCCAAAGUGUAACGGAGGAGCACGAAGGUUUGCUAAUGACGGUCGGACAUCGUCAGGUUAGUGCAAUGGUAUAAGCAAGCUUAACUGCGAGACAGACAAGUCGAGCAGGUGCGAAAGCAGGUCAUAGUGAUCCGGUGGUUCUGAAUGGAAGGGCCAUCGCUCAACGGAUAAAAGGUACUCCGGGGAUAACAGGCUGAUACCGCCCAAGAGUUCAUAUCGACGGCGGUGUUUGGCACCUCGAUGUCGGCUCAUCACAUCCUGGGGCUGAAGUAGGUCCCAAGGGUAUGGCUGUUCGCCAUUUAAAGUGGUACGCGAGCUGGGUUUAGAACGUCGUGAGACAGUUCGGUCCCUAUCUGCCGUGGGCGUUGGAGAAUUGAGAGGGGCUGCUCCUAGUACGAGAGGACCGGAGUGGACGCAUCACUGGUGUACCAGUUGUCUCGCCAGAGGCAUUGCUGGGUAGCUAAAUGCGGAAGAGAUAAGUGCUGAAAGCAUCUAAGCACGAAACUUGCCUUGAGAUGAGUUCUCCCAGUCUAUAAGACUGUAAGGGUUGUUGGAGACUACGACGUAGAUAGGCUGGGUGUGUAAGCGGUGUGAGCCGUUGAGCUAACCAGUACUAAUUGCCCGAGAGGCUUAACUAUACAACGCUCAAGGGUUUUG